UGAUUGUGUCCAAGCCAUGGUUCUCCGUACGGUGCUGCCGCAGCGGAGCUAAGAGGGAAGCCGGUGCGAUGCCGGCGCUGCCCCCGCAACUGUUAGAGGCGAGCCGAACCCACUCCAUGUCACUGAGGCCGAACAGCCUCGGGAAGACGGGUAGAGCUAUGACCCCCGAGCCAGGAGACCUGCCACGGCGAACUAUUGUCCA
rnacentral:ncRNA from 1 species